UACAGAGGUCUCAAGCGUUGUUCGGAUUCAUUGGGCGUAAAGGGUGCGUAGGCGGCGGGGCAAGUCGGAUGUGAAAUCUCAGGGCUCAACCCUGAAACUGCAUUCGAUACUGCCUUGCUCGAGGACUGGAGAGGAGAUUGGAAUUCACGGUGUAGCAGUGAGAUGCGUAGAUAUCGUGAGGAAGACCAGUGGCGAAGGCGGAUCUCUGGACAGUUCCUGACGCUGAGGCACGAAGGCCAGGGGAGCAAACGGG
rnacentral:rRNA from 1 species